CCCUAAGGUCCCUAAUGCAUCCAACCAGCAAUCCCACGCCACCUUUGGAGACCCCCACACCCUCUCUUCCUCUCUCCCUCUCUUCUCCCUUGGCGUCUCACAUGUCCCACCUUUUGGGUGUCCCAAGUUUUUCCACACCCAAGGCACUUGGGCAUCUCCUAUUUACUAAUUUCCAACAUUUGGUAGUAGCAUAAAGCAAGGGAGAAAGGUAAGAGAAGGAGAAGAUUAAGAAAAGAGAUCAAGAGUUGAUCGUGAUCCAGGCUUCGUUCAAUUUCAGCAGGCUGAAUUUUCUUAGAGAAAAAAUUUAACUUGAAGAGGACUGUUUCAGACUGAUCUUGAGUGGAUACCCAUAGAGAUUGAAUACUUGUGUGGCUAGAAAAAAAUCUCUUAUCUUCCAGAUCCAGAUUUGAAGAAAGAGAUUGCGAAAUAGGUAUACGAUUUGAUCACAAUUUGAAUUUUAACAUAUGUCAAUUUCAGCACAUGAUCUAGUUCCUUGAGGUUUUAUAUUUUUAUGCAUACAUAAUUCAGAUUAAAAAUAUUUUAAUCUUAUAUUUCACUACGGUAUUUAGAAAAUAAAAUUUUGAAAUACACAUGCAUGCCCCAAACCUCAAAUUCCAAUAG
rnacentral:lncRNA from 1 species